rnacentral:rRNA from 1 species
AUUGAACGCUGGCGGCAGGCCUAACACAUGCAAGUCGAGCGAGCGGCGGACGGGUGAGUAAUGUCUGGGAAACUGCCUGAUGGAGGGGGAUAACUACUGGAAACGGUAGCUAAUACCGCAUACCAUCAGAUGUGCCCAGAUGGGCUUAGCUAGUAGGUGUGGUAACGGCUCACCUAGGCGACGAUCCCUCGCUGGUCUGAGAGGAUGACCGGCCACACUGGAACUGAGACACGGUCCAAACUCCUACGGGAGGCAGCGGUGGGGAAGAUUGCACAAUGGGCGCAAGCCGGAUGCAGCCAUGCCGCGAGUAUGAAGAAGGCCUUCGGGUUGUAAAGUACUUACAGCGGGGAGGCGUUACCCGCAGAAGAAGCACCGGCUAACUCCGUGCCAGCAGCCGCGGUAAUUC